rnacentral:lncRNA from 1 species
CGGGGAGCAACUUCCCCGAGCUGGGGCGGAGGCGAGGUGCCGGUGUGCCGAGCCUUCCUCGGACUCCGAACUUGGCCGAGCCGUGUGGGGAAGGCGGCGGCGUGCCUGCCGUGGGCUCUGGGGUUGGGCUGGUGUGUUUACCCGCUUGCGGGGGAGGUGGCACCACAUUUCUUGGGUGCAGGCUGGUGAUGGAGAUUCCGUGUGCUUCUGGGGUCGGGGGAGUUAGGCCUGUGCCAUCCACGAUCACUCCUGCUCGCCCACCUCUUGUUUCAGGACGGAAAGUUAAAGGCUCUCUAUCGGCACCAGCUUAUAUCACCGAGAAGAUAAUUGUAAAGGCAUACCUUGUUGAGAACAUAACUGAGAGGUUGUACGGAUGGGAUGAACACGCGUCAGUUGCCUGCCUGUCUGCUGGAGUUUGGAUGCUAGCGUUGCUCAUAGGGAACUGCUGCCUAGGGAUGCACCUGCUCUACAGUACCCCAUUUCAUCGUGCUUGUCUCGAUUAA